rnacentral:rRNA from 1 species
ACGUAGGGGGCAAGCGUUGUCCGGAUUUAUUGGGCGUAAAGAGCGUGUAGGCGGCCUGAAAGGUCAGCUGUGAAAACUCGAGGCUCAACCUCGAGACGUCGGUUGAAACCAUCUGGCUAGAGUCCGGAAGAGGAGUGUGGAAUUCCCGGUGUAGCGGUGAAAUGCGCAGAUAUCGGGAAGAACACCUGUGGCGAAAGCGGCUCACUGGACCACAACUGACGCUGAGGCGCGAAAGCUAGGGGAGCAAACAGGA